ensembl:lncRNA
UUCUUUUCUUUUGUCUUUUCUGUGUCUGUUCUUUUCAUGGCUGUGCUAUGCCAUUUUUAUUGCAAAACAAAGGAAAGACCUUUGUAAUACACAAGGAAAUCUAAUUUGCUUUUCACAGUGGUCCUAAAGCCAGUGAUUGAUGUGUUUCAGUAAUUAAAAUUUGCUACCUUUGAAAUACUAAAUGUAAGAUUUAGGAAGACAGGGGAAUGGGAGAAAACAGAAAAUAUAUUAGCAACUUUCAUGUCUUGUGUUAUAGCGUUCAGUAUUCUGCCCAUUUAUGUUGGAACAAGUGAGCAAAUUUCACAUUUAUGAAGAUAAUCCUGCAUACUGGGGAGAGAAAACUGAUAGUCAUUCUGCCUAUUGAGAAGGAAUGAUUGAGCACCAAAUGUCAGUAUACCUUGUCUCAGGAGAAAAAAGAAAUGAAAACUCCAUCAAACAGAAGGUCAGUGAGAUGAAGACGUCACACUGUCUUUUUCACACUGGCAGAGGUCAAAACAGGACUUCAGGACCUUGCAGAAGAAGUUCCUCAAUGUUUUGAACUUGCCAUCUGAACCAUCUGAAGAAACAGAUUGGUACACACAGAGGUACCUAAAAAAACCCACGUGAUUUUACAUACAAGCAUGAAAACAUAGGAAACAGCACCAAGAGAAACUGCUGAGGACCAUGGAUGGGAUGCUGCAGCACAACAUCACAGUGGGGAUCUCAUCCUGCAUUUCUUUCUGACUCUCUUUCAUCAGUGUGAAGUGGAAGUGAAGACAGCCAAAGUCUUGGGUCUCAUCUUGCUGCUCUCAGAUCCUUGGCCAAUGGCACUCUGGAUAGUUCCAUCUACAGCAAAUCUUACGGUGCAACACCCGCAGUUCAUGCACUGGUGUAGAACUUCCCAGUAUCUUUGAACCUCUGGGUGAGGCCAGUGGCAUCUGAAUGAGAAAUGGAAGCCUCAGAAUGACAUGGGUAUGGAAGACUCAGUUUGCAGAGUUAAGGUCACACAGUGUGUGAUUUCUCUUUUCCAAAUUCCUUAAUGUCAAUGUAUGAUAAAAUACACUUUUAGUUAAUAACCAUAGUUCAUAAAAAUUAACAUGCGACUCCUGCCACCCAUACUGGAAGCAGACUGAACAGGAAUCACAGCAUCCACCAAAUUCUGUUUGUUCAAUAAAACCAACGGCAAAAAAGAGCAAGGGAGGAGUAUGUUGACAAAAUGUGCAGUACACUAUAAAGUAUUUGACACUUCCUCAGACAUGCCAAAGGCAACUGGGCUCUGGAGUAUUUGGAAAGAAGGAGAAUGAAGCACUUUACUGUGUUAAUGCUAGGAGUUAUUGUCUAGACCACUACUGACUAAGGAAGAUGGUGGUAUCUAUUAAAGAUCUUUUUUUUUUUUUUUUUUUUUUUAAUGGCAAAACUUUUCCAAAAUCUCCAAAAGACCAUGGAAACCCCGGGGAAAAAACAGAUGGCUGGAAAAAAAACUAAAUUAAUGAUGAUAUUUACAAAUCAAGGAUAACAUAGAGGACACAGAAAAUGGUUAAUAUGCCAUCAGUAUAAGGCGAAACUGAAGAAUCUGGAUAACUAUUAUCCAUGAAAAGGAAUAAAAGAUACACAAUGAAAUGUAUAAAUGCAAAACAAUAUGGGCUUAUGGCAAAGUGAAACAAACCUAAUAUUAAAAAAUAAAUAAAUUUUUUGGUUGAUCAAGAUAGAUGGAAAGAUUUCUUUAAAACAUUUAGCUUCAUUCUGCAUUUAACCCUUAUUUAUAAAACUGUUUCUUAAAAUACCAUUGUUGAAUAUGUAAAAUGGGCUUAAGCACUGGCUAAAUAAUAGUCUCAAUGAAUAAAUGUGCAAU